rnacentral:rRNA from 1 species
UACGAAGGGUGCAAGCGUUAAUCGGAAUUACUGGGCGUAAAGGGUGCGUAGGCGGUUGUUUAAGUCUGUCGUGAAAUCCCCGGGCUCAACCUGGGAAUGGCGAUGGAUACUGGGCAGCUAGAGUGUGUCAGAGGAUGGUGGAGUUCCCGGUGUAGCGGUGAAAUGCGUAGAGAUCGGGAGGAACAUCAGUGGCGAAGGCGGCCAUCUGGGACAACACUGACGCUGAAGCACGAAAGCGUGGGGAGCAAACAGG